GAUGGCUCCUAUCGAAGCCGCCCGUGCACUCUGUAGCAGCGGGCGGUCAAACGGAAGCCGAGAUGAAACCUUUCACCGACGGUCGCUGUUCAGUUUAAAGUAACUGCUCCAGCAACAUUUAGGGGAAGGACACCU
rnacentral:snoRNA from 13 species